rnacentral:rRNA from 1 species
AUUGAACGCUGGCGGCAUGCCUUACACAUGCAAGUCGAACGGCAGCACGGGUGCUUGCACCUGGUGGCGAGUGGCGAACGGGUGAGUAAUACAUCGGAACGUACCUUAUCGUGGGGGAUAACGCAGCGAAAGCUGUGCUAAUACCGCAUACGCCCUGAGGGGGAAAGCGGGGGAUAGCAAGACCUCGCGCGACUAGAGCGGCCGAUGCCUGAUUAGCUUGUUGGUGGGGUAAAAGCCCACCAAGGCGACGAUCAGUAGCUGGUCUGAGAGGACGAUCAGCCACACUGGGACUGAGACACGGCCCAGACUCCUACGGGAGGCAGCAGUGGGGAAUUUUGGACAAUGGGGGCAACCCUGAUCCAGCAAUGCCGCGUGAGUGAAGAAGGCCUUCGGGUUGUAAAGCUCUUUUGUCAGGGAAGAAACACCGGCUCUAACACAGUCUGGGAAUGACGGUACCUGAAGAAUAAGCACCGGCUAACUACGUGCCAGCAGCCGCCGUAA